rnacentral:rRNA from 1 species
UCAUCAUCGGCGCAAGAGCAGCUCCCAUCCCAUCCAGUUUCAGCUAGUAACACAGGACACAGAGUAGCUAGCUAGGUUGUCACCGAUCACCUAGUGUGGUGGACUCGACGACGAUGGCGGUAAGGCUGACGCUGGUGGCGGCGCUGCUGUGCGCGGCGGCGGCGGCGGCGGCGGCGGCGCAGCAGGCGAGCAACGUGCGCGCGACGUACCACUACUACCGGCCGGCGCAGAACAACUGGGACCUGGGCGCGCCGGCGGUGAGCGCCUACACCUUUUUAAGUUUGAAGCUUGCCGCUUACACCUUUUUUCGAGAGUUUAUAGAAAUAAAAUGGGCCAGCCCAAGUAAGAGCGCCGUCAGCGCUAAUAUGCAGGGAUAGGCAGGGUAUGUUCCUUGGUGCCUCCGCAGUUAUCUUCGAAGGGUUGCUUGAUCCAACUAUUCUAGAAGCCCAGGCGUGUAACGAAGCUCUUGGUCUUGCUGCGGAUCUUCAUGUUCAUUUCGUGUGCGUUGCAUCGGACUGUCUCGAGGUGAUUUCAAAUAUUAAUAAUGGUGCCCCUUGCCGUUAUUUUGCUCUUUUAGAGGAGAUCAAGCACAGAAGACGCUCUAUCCAGGAUAUUCAGUUCGUGCAUGAGAAUAGAAAGCAUAAUGAGGAAGCCCAUGCCUUAGCUAAGGCGGCUGCUUCUCUCCCACCCAGGCGGCAUGUGUGGCUUACUGAUUUGCCCAAUAUCAUUUGUAUCACUAUGUGUUUGAACAUUGAAUAAAGGAUACAUUUUCGG